GACGAACGCUGGCGGCGUGCUUAACACAUGCAAGUCGAACGGAAAGGCCCUGCUUUUGUGGGGUGCUCGAGUGGCGAACGGGUGAGUAACACGUGAGUAACCUGCCCUUGACUUUGGGAUAACUUCAGGAAACUGGGGCUAAUACCGGAUAGGAGCUCCUGCUGCAUGGUGGGAGUUGGAAAGUUUCGGCGGUUGGGGAUGGACUCGCGGCUUAUCAGCUUGUUGGUGGGGUAGUGGCUUACCAAGGCUUUGACGGGUAGCCGGCCUGAGAGGGUGACCGGCCACAUUGGGACUGAGAUACGGCCCAGACUCCUACGGGAGGCAGCAGGGGGGAAUAUUGCACAAUGGGCGGAAGCCUGAUGCAGCAACGCCGCGUGCGGGAUGACGGCCUUCGGGUUGUAAACCGCUUUCGCCUGUGACGAAGCGUGAGUGACGGUAAUGGGUAAAGAAGCACCGGCUAACUACGUG
rnacentral:rRNA from 1 species